rnacentral:rRNA from 1 species
AGUGAACGCUGGCGGUAGGCCUAACACAUGCAAGUCGAACGGCAGCACAGUAAGAGCUUGCUCUUACGGGUGGCGAGUGGCGGACGGGUGAGGAAUACAUCGGAAUCUACUUUUUCGUGGGGGCUAACGUAGGGAAACUUACGCUAAUACCGCAUACGACCUACGGGUGAAAGCAGGGGAUCUUCGGACCUUGCGCGAUUGAAUGGGCCGUUGUCGGAUUAGCUAGUUGGCGGGGUAAAGGCCCACCAAGGCGACGAUCCGUAGCUGGUCUGAGAGGAUGAGCAGCCACACUGUAACUGAGACACGGUCCAGACGCCUACGGGAGGCAGCAGUGGGGAAUAUUGGACAAUGGGCGCAAGCCUGAUCCAGCCAUACCGCGUGGGUGAAGAAGGCCUUCGGGUUGUAAAGCCCUUUUGUUGGGAAAGAAAAGCAGCAGGUUAAUACCCCGCUGUUCUGACGGUACCCAAAGAAUAAGCACCGGCUAACUUCGUG